GUCUGUUUUCUUCAGUCGAGACCCAGACUCAUCCACAUGAGACGAUUUUCAUUUGCCUACCUCUCUCCCUUACAGAUAAGGAGUCAUUAAAUGACCAGGAGGGCAGGAAGAUGGGUUAAUAGGUUAUGUCUCACAUCCAGGUGUGCUUCUGGUGGUAACUGUGCCCAGGGAUGCCACCAAGCCUGUCCCACUGGGCCUCACCUUGCCUUCCUCCUCCAGCUGCCUCUUGAGGUCCUCCAUCUGCUGGGUAUAGGAGAGCUUGCCCCGGGUCAGCUGGGAAAUCAAUGCCUCCUUUUCUUCCAGUUGCCUAGCCAGCUCGCCUGGAGCUUGGCUCGCUGUGUGGUGAAGUCAUUGAGGGAGCGCUGGGCUUCUUCCAACUUCACCCGGUAUUCAUUGGCCUGGUCCUCCAGUGUCCGGGACACUUUCUCCAGGUUUGCCUUCAGGCAUUAACGAGCAGAUGGAAGCUUCUGCUUCACCCGCUGCAGGUUGUCUAUCUGCUCGCCCAGCUCGGCCACGCUGUCCGCGUGCUUCUUGCGCAGGGCCGCGGCCGUGGCCUCAUGCUGCAGCGUGGCCUCCUCCAGGUCCCGCCGCAUCUUCUGGAACUCGGCCUCGCGCUUCUUGUUCAUCUCUAUCUGCACAGAUGUGGCCCCACCGGCUUCCUCCAGCCUCUCACUGAUCUCCUCCAGCUCCCGGGACAGGUCUGAGCGCAGCUUCUCCACCUUGGCCCGGGCUGUGCGCUCGGCCUCCAGCUCCUCCUCCAGCUCCUCGAUGCGUGCCUAGUCAGGGACACAGAGGUUCAGACCUGCUUCCUGGACCCUCCAUUGAGGCCCCUGCUCCAGGGCUCUAAAAGGCUCCCAGAUCCCUAGCAUUGGUUUUCAGCCUCUAGGUAUAGCUAGCAAUGCCUGGAGACGUUUUAA